CCUACGGGGGGCUACAGUGGGGAAUAUUGGACAAUGGGGGCAACCCUGAUCCAGCCAUGCCGCGUGUGUGAAGAAGGCCCUCGGGUUGUAAAGCACUUUCAGUGAGGAAGAACGCCUGGUGGUUAAUACCCAUCAGGAAAGACAUCACUCACAGAAGAAGCACCGGCUAACUCCGUGCCAGCAGCCGCGGUAAUACGGAGGGUGCGAGCGUUAAUCGGAAUUACUGGGCGUAAAGCGCGCGUAGGUGGCUUGAUAAGCCGGUUGUGAAAGCCCCGGGCUCAACCUGGGAACGGCAUCCGGAACUGUCAAGCUAGAGUGCAGGAGAGGAAGGUAGAAUUCCCGGUGUAGCGGUGAAAUGCGUAGAGAUCGGGAGGAAUACCAGUGGCGAAGGCGGCCUUCUGGACUGACACUGACACUGAGGUGCGAAAGCGUGGGUAGCAAACAGGAUUAGAUACCCCUGUAGUC
rnacentral:rRNA from 1 species